UCCUGACUAAUUGUUCCACAUGGAACAUUAGACACUAGCCAAGACAGGAGAUAAUAAUG
rnacentral:ncRNA from 1 species